rnacentral:lncRNA from 1 species
AUGUUUAGUGAUAUAAGUAUAACAACAUAUAAUGAAAAUUAUGAAUAUAUAAUGUUAUAUAUAGAAGAAAAUAUACAUGAUGAAAUGUGUAAAUAUUUUGAAUGGGUUUUGUCUCAAAAUGAUUAUAAAAUAAAUGAUUUGGUAUUUUAUAUAGAAGAUAACAAUGGAGAACAUGGGGAACAGGAUAAUGAUGUGUUGGAUGGGUUGUAUGUGUUGGAUAGGUUGGAUGGAUUGGAUGGGUUGGAUGGGUUGACUUUGGACAUGUUGGGUAAAACAGGUUUUACAUAUUAUGAAAACAGUGCGGACAAAACAAACGACGAUAGUAAAAAAAGGGAAGUUAAAAAAAGUGGUCUAACAAAAAUUGAAAAAUUGAAAAAACUAAAACAAAUGUUGACUAAGCAUAGUAUGGAUGAAAGUGGAUAUAGAAAUUUUUUAAAAUUUUUCACAUAUGAUAGAACAAAUAAUAUAUUCAAUUCAGUUGAUAAAAUAUAUACGACAAAUAAUGAAAGAGUUAGUAAUUUGAAAAAUAGUUUUAUGGAUAGUGAUAAAGAAGUAGAAGUUUCGAUGGUUAAAGAUAUGAGUGGUAUAAGUAAUAGUACAAUGAAAGAAAUUAGUUACAAAACAAAUAAUAAAAAAAAAGGUAACAAUAAUGUUUAUAAUAAAUAUCGUUUUAGGAGUUUUAGUAAAAAUUUAAAUCAAUUUGAUAUAAUUUAUAAAUCUAAAAUAAAACAACAUUAUUUUAAUUGUCCAUUUCAGAUUACAUUUAUGCCAACAAAUAUAAAUAAAGAUUUAUUAAAUAAUAAUAAAAAAAAAAAAAUUUCAAAAAAUGAUUUUAAAACAAAUGAUUAUAAUAAUAUUAUAACAAAAUGUUUAAAUUAUACAGAUUAUUCUAUUAUUAAUGUAAAUAACAAUGAUAUACUUAUAAGUGGAAGUGAUGGAUUGUUUGAUAAUUUAUAUGAUGAUGAUAUAAUUGAAAUACUGUAUAAUAAUUUUUAUGUUAUUCAGAAUGACAAUUUGAUUAAUUUGAAGGAAUUUUUUAAAUUUUAUGAUGAAUAUGUGAAUGUUUUUAGUUAUUUAUAUGCGGAAGUCACAAAUGAAAAGUAUAAAUAUGACAAUAAUGUUAUGAAUCAAUAUAAUAAUAAUGUAGAAACAGACCCAUCAAACUAUUCUAACAACAAAAGUGACCAGUGUGAUACACAAAAAAAAACAACAACAACAACAACAACAACCACGAGUGAUAAUAAUAUAAGUAUCAAAUCAAAUGAUCUGUCAUAUAACUUGACCAGUAGUUCAAAUAAAACAGGAUUGGAUCAAGUAUAUAAAGAAAGAAGUAGUAAUAGUGAAAAUGUAAAGGAUAUAACAAUAACAGAUAAUAAGAGUAAAUCAAAAUUUACAAAUAAAAUUAAAAAAAUAUUUUCCCUCAAAAGUAAUAACGUAAAUGCUCAUCCAAACACUACCACU